AACGAACGCUGGCGGCAUGCCUAACACAUGCAAGUCGAACGAGACCUUCGGGUUUGGUGGCGCACGGGUGGGUAAAGCGUGGGAACAUGCCCUUAGGUUCGGAAUAACUCCUCGAAAUGGGUGCUAAUAACGGGUAAUGUUUUCGGACCAAAGAUUUAUCGCCUUUGGAUGGGCCCGAGUUGGUUUAGCUAGUUGGUAGGGUAAAAGCUUACCAAGGGGACGAUGCGUAGCUGGCUUGAGAGGAUGAUCAGCCACACUGGGACUGAGACACGGCCCAGACUCCUACGGAGGGCAGCAGUGGAGUAUAUUGGACGCGGAGCGAAAGCGUGGUCAAGCAGUGUCGCGUGAGUGGUGAUGGCCUUUGUAUUGUAAAGCUCUUUUACACGGGAUGAUAAUGACAGUACCGGGAGAAUAAGCUCCGGCUAACUCCGUG
rnacentral:rRNA from 1 species